UGGGGAAUUUUGGACAAUGGGGGCAACCCUGAUCCAGCAAUGCCGCGUGAGUGAAGAAGGCCUUCGGGUUGUAAAGCUCUUUUGCCGGGGAAGAAACGGUGAUCUCUAAUAUAGAUUACUAAUGACGGUACCCGGAGAAUAAGCACCGGCUAACUACGUGCCAGCAGCCGCGGUAAUACGUAGGGUGCAAGCGUUAAUCGGAAUUACUGGGCGUAAAGCGUGCGCAGGCGGUUGUGUAAGUCAGAUGUGAAAUCCCCGGGCUUAACCUGGGCACUGCAUUUGAGACUGCACGGCUAGAGUGUGUCAGAGGGGGGUAGAAUUCCACGUGUAGCAGUGAAAUGCGUAGAGAUGUGGAGGAAUACCGAUGGCGAAGGCAGCCCCCUGGGAUAACACUGACGCUCAUGCACGAAAGCGUGGGGAGCAAACAGGAUUAGAUACCCCCGUAGUCC
rnacentral:rRNA from 1 species